CUAUCAUGCAGUCGAGCGACAGAUAAGGAGCUUGCUCCUUUGACGUUAGCGGCGGACGGGUGAGUAACACGUGGAUAACCUACCUAUAAGACUGGGAUAACUUCGGGAAACCGGAGCUAAUACCGGAUAACAUAUUGAACCGCAUGGUUCAAUAGUGAAAGGCGGCUUUGCUGUCACUUAUAGAUGGAUCCGCGCCGUAUUAGCUAGUUGGUAAGGUAACGGCUUACCAAGGCAACGAUACGUAGCCGACCUGAGAGGGUGAUCGGCCACACUGGAACUGAGACACGGUCCAGACUCCUACGGGAGGCAGCAGUAGGGAAUCUUCCGCAAUGGGCGAAAGCCUGACGGAGCAACGCCGCGUGAGUGAUGAAGGUCUUCGGAUCGUAAAACUCUGUUAUCAGGGAAGAACAAAUGUGUAAGUAACUGUGCACAUCUUGACGGUACCUGAUCAGAAAGCCACGGCUAACUACGUGCCAGCAGCCGCGGUAAUACGUAGGUGGCAAGCGUUAUCCGGAAUUAUUGGGCGUAAAGCGCGCGUAGGCGGUUUUUUUAAGUCUGAUGUGAAAGCCCACGGCUCAACCGUGGAGGGUCAUUGGAAACUGGAAAACUUGAGUGCAGAAGAGGAAAGUGGAAUUCCAUGUGUAGCGGUGAAAUGCGCAGAGAUAUGGAGGAACACCAGUGGCGAAGGCGACUUUCUGGUCUGUAACUGACGCUGAUGUGCGAAAGCGUGGGGAUCAAACAGGAUUAGAUACCCUGGUAGUCCACGCCGUAAACGAUGAGUGCUAAGUGUUAGGGGGUUUCCGCCCCUUAGUGCUGCAGCUAACGCAUUAAGCACUCCGCCUGGGGAGUACGACCGCAAGGUUGAAACUCAAAGGAAUUGACGGGGGACCCGCACAAGCGGUGGAGCAUGUGGUUUAAUUCGAAGCAACGCGAAGAACCUUACCAAAUCUUGACAUCCUUUGACCGCUCUAGAGAUAGAGUCUUCCCCUUCGGGGAACAAAGUGACAGGUGGUGCAUGGUUGUCGUCAGCUCGUGUCGUGAGAUGUUGGGUUAAGUCCCGCAACGAGCGCAACCCUUAAGCUUAGUUGCCAUCAUUAAGUUGGGCACUCUAAGUUGACUGCCGGUGACAAACCGGAGGAAGGUGGGGAUGACGUCAAAUCAUCAUGCCCCUUAUGAUUUGGGCUACACACGUGCUACAAUGGACAAUACAAAGGGCAGCUAAACCGCGAGGUCAAGCAAAUCCCAUAAAGUUGUUCUCAGUUCGGAUUGUAGUCUGCAACUCGACUACAUGAAGCUGGAAUCGCUAGUAAUCGUAGAUCAGCAUGCUAGCGGUGAAUACGUUCCCGGGUCUUGUACACACCGCCCGUCACACCACGAGAGUUUGUAACACCCGAAGCCGGUGGAGUAACCAUUUAUGGAGCUAGCCUCGAAG
rnacentral:rRNA from 1 species